UCCGGUUUGUCACCGGCAGUCUCGUUAAAGUGCCCAACUUAAUGAUGGCAAUUAACGACAAGGGUUGCGCUCGUUGCGGGACUUAACCCAACAUCUCACGACACGAGCUGACGACAGCCAUGCAGCACCUGUGUUCAGGUUCCCUUUCGGGCACCAAGCCAUCUCUGGCAAGUUCCUGACAUGUCAAGGGUAGGUAAGGUUUUUCGCGUUGCAUCGAAUUAAUCCACAUCAUCCACCGCUUGUGCGGGUCCCCGUCAAUUCCUUUGAGUUUUAACCUUGCGGCCGUACUCCCCAGGCGGUCAACUUCUCGCGUUAGCUACGGUACUAAAAGGUUUUACCCUCCCAACACCUAGUUGACAUCGUUUAGGGCGUGGACUAC
rnacentral:misc_RNA from 1 species